UGCUGCAUAACUAGCGAUUGUAUACAUACAAAAUGAGACAAAACAAUUUCUAAUUAGUUUCUAAUUAUAAGGUAUGACACGUUUUAAGGUAUGGUGGCCAAUACUGAUUUUAUUUGCAAUUUUCUUUCAGAUAUGGGACCCUAUUAUUCGGAGAACUGCAGAUUUUAUGAAGCUGUCUUUGACAGAAGAUUUGGUUUUCUCCAUCUGUGUUGCCACCAACCAUUAUGCUGAGAUGGUCAUAUCUAGGGGGAAGGGUUGCCAUAUACUUCCCAAGGAAGUUUGCAGCCUCUCACUGAAGAGGAACUGUACAGAUUUUUGUGCAUUAUCUUAUACACGCCUGCUGUGAAGUUCCAGUCGAUAGACAGAUAUUGGUCAACGCAUGCCCCUGUCGGAACAACUCGUUGUCAAGAAUUAUGUCUAGAAAUAGGUUUCAAGAGGUUGAAUAUAAGAACAUUUUUGUUAAAUAUGAUGCAAGUACAUUUAAAUCUAGUGAUUGAAAGUAAGUACUUGAACAUUCGCUUAUUUUGAACUUGGAGAGGAAAAAUGGUUAGUACUUUUUGAUAACAUUUGAUAAGGUGUUGUUGCUUAGCAACCAAUUAUAACUGAAUAAAAAAUAGAUUAUUUUAGAUUAACAAUAAUUGAAAGAUCUUUGUUUUAAUGUUGCAAUACUUAUUCUAUUUAAUGGAACAUAAUGGCAAAACGUCAUAUUAUUAGAAAAUGAUGGACAAGUAUAUAAAGUACGAAGUUUCCAUUUGAUGACCUUUGACCUUAAUUCUCUUCAUUACAUUUUUUGUUAAAAACCUUUUAAAAUGAUUAAGAUCUAUUUAAAGAUUAUAUUUUUAAGAUAAUGUGACAUUUACUAUUCAUCAUGGAUUGUAAUUACGUUUAAAUUGUGUCGAAUGGAUGCAGAAAGGCAAAUUAUGGUCAAAAUUGUACUAUGAGUGUUGUUACUUAGCAACCAAAAAUAUUUGUUUGUCAAUAAAAUUGAUUAGUUUGA